rnacentral:rRNA from 1 species
AUUGCACGUCUAAGCAGUAAGGCUGAGUAUUAGGCAAAUCCGGUACUCGUUAAGGCUGAGCUGUGAUGGGGAGAAGACAUUGUGUCUUCGAGUCGUUGAUUUCACACUGCCGAGAAAAGCCUCUAGAUAGAAAAUAGGUGCCCGUACCGCAAACCGACACAGGUAGUCAAGAUGAGAAUUCUAAGGUGAGCGAGCGAACUCUCGUUAAGGAACUCGGCAAAAUGACCCCGUAACUUCGGGAGAAGGGGUGCUCUUUAGGGUUAACGCCCAGAAGAGCCGCAGUGAAUAGGCCCAAGCGACUGUUUAUCAAAAACACAGGUCUCUGCUAAACCGUAAGGUGAUGUAUAGGGGCUGACGCCUGCCCGGUGCUGGAAGGUUAAGAGGAGUGGUUAGCUUCUGCGAAGCUACGAAUCGAAGCCCCAGUAAACGGCGGCCGUAACUAUAACGGUCCUAAGGUAGCGAAAUUCCUUGUCGGGUAAGUUCCGACCCGCACGAAAGGCGUAACGAUUUGGGCACUGUCUCAACGAGAGACUCGGUGAAAUCAUAGUACCUGUGAAGAUGCAGGUUACCCGCGACAGGACGGAAAGACCCCGUGGAGCUUUACUGUAGCCUGAUAUUGAAAUUCGGCACAGCUUGUACAGGAUAGGUAGGAGCCUUUGAAACGUGAGCGCUAGCUUACGUGGAGGCGCUGGUGGGAUACUACCCUAGCUGUGUUGGCUUUCUAACCCGCACCACUUAUCGUGGUGGGAGACAGUGUCAGGCGGGCAGUUUGACUGGGGCGGUCGCCUCCUAAAAGGUAACGGAGGCGCUCAAAGGUUCCCUCAGAAUGGUUGGAAAUCAUUCAUAGAGUGUAAAGGCAUAAGGGAGCUUGACUGCGAGACCUACAAGUCGAGCAGGGUCGAAAGACGGACUUAGUGAUCCGGUGGUUCCGCAUGGAAGGGCCAUCGCUCAACGGAUAAAAGCUACCCCGGGGAUAACAGGCUUAUCUCCCCCAAGAGUUCACAUCGACGGGGAGGUUUGGCACCUCGAUGUCGGCUCAUCGCAUCCUGGGGCUGUAGUCGGUCCCAAGGGUUGGGCUGUUCGCCCAUUAAAGCGGUACGCGAGCUGGGUUCAGAACGUCGUGAGACAGUUCGGUCCCUAUCCGUCGUGGGCGUAGGAAAUUUGAGAGGAGCUGUCCUUAGUACGAGAGGACCGGGAUGGACAUACCUCUGGUGUACCAGUUGUCGUGCCAACGGCAUAGCUGGGUAGCUAUGUGUGGACGGGAUAAGUGCUGAAAGCAUCUAAGCAUGAAGCCCCCCUCAAGAUGAGAUUUCCCAACUUCGGUUAUAAGAUCCCUCAAAGAUGAUGAGGUUAAUAGGUUCGAGGUGGAAGCAUGGUGACAUGUGGAGCUGACGAAUACUAAUCGAUCGAAGAC